GGACCGGUGGUCUAGUUGGUUUAUGACGUUGCCUUGACUUGGCGAAGAUCGGCGGUUCGACUCCGCCUCGGUCCA
rnacentral:tRNA from 1 species